rnacentral:tRNA from 1 species
GCGGGCGUAGCUCAGUUGGUAGAGCGUCUGCUUGCCAUGCAGAAGGUCGCCGGUUCGAGUCCGGUCGCCCGCUCUA